AGUUAAGCUUACCGUCAGAAAAAAGUUAAGCUUAAAAAAAAACUCUUUCAUUCAAUUUUCAAAAUGAAAAUCAGAUGAAAUGGAAAGAAUAGGGAAGUCUCUGGAAGCUUGCAGUUUCUCUCGAAUCUAGAUCGAGAACCAGAGCUCGCGAAGACGAAGACGAAGCUCGCAGGGUUCGUCUCUCUCUCUCUCCAUCGAAGCUCGCAUGGUUCGUCUCUAUCUCCAUCGAAGCUCACAGGGGUUCCUCUUUCUCUCUCGCACUCCAUCGAAGCUCGCAAGGUCUGUAUCUCUUUCUCUCUCGCACUCCAUGGAAGCUACAAGGUCCAUCUCGUGAGUUCACUCCGUUCCUCUCGCGAACAAGAGUGGUGCUACGCCCUACCUGGAUUCCAACGGGGAAGGAAGGUUGGUGGUGCCUAUGUCAGGUUUACUUACAUUUCACUUUCUCAACCACUGAUUCAGUUUAAUUCAACAACUACCAAACAAGUGCAUCUUUUCAACUUGAAUGCUCUAUAUCUCAUGAUAAGAUGUAUAGCUAGAGCUGAUAUCAGAAUGUGUGUGGAUUUUACAUAUAUGAUGAUAAAUUUUAUGAGGACGUUAUUUUUUCUUUUUCUUGUUGCAGAAAUCUUGGGAAAUCCAUGUAAUAUAAAAGGGUCUUAAUGCAGCUGAUGCAAUUUUGAUAAAUUUCCAGACCAGCUUCAGGGUCUGCUGCUGCUCAUUUCGAGAAAUUAAAGCCCACCAUUGAAGCAGAUGCAUGUGACGUUGAAGAUCCUUCAAGCUUCCCGAUGGUCCUUGUUCAGACUCCCAUGUGCAAUAAGAGAGAGGUCACUAACACUGCUCUCUCUGCUUCUGCGUUAGCAUUACCCACUCUUUGAGACCGUUCCUUUCUUUACCAAAGUACUAACCCUUUUUCUCUCUUUUCUCCGAGAUGUUUGUUGCAUAAUACUCUUCUAUAUGUAGAUCUGAACUGAACUUAGAAUAUUUGUAAUUAUGAAUUCUUUUUCUUACUAUGAAUUCUUUUUCUUAUGCA